UACCAGCAUGGAUAUCAGGGAAAUAGAAGGAUGCUGGCCUGUUUAAACACUGCAGCAAGAUAAGAACCUUAAGGAGUUCUCGCUUUCCUGUGAACAACAAAGUUCUGUACAAGAAGAGGUUAGAGAAAGUGCAACUGGUGGAAUGAGGAUUGGACAGGAGAGUGGUGACAGUGGAUGAUUUCUGAGAAGACCCUGGAAAACUCCA
rnacentral:lncRNA from 1 species